GCGCGAAAACUUUACAAUGCGAGAAAUCGUGAUAAGGGAACCCCGAGUGCCCGUAAAUUCGGGCUGUCCGCCAGUGUAAAUAACUGGUGAAGAAAGGGCCGGGCAAGACCGGUGCCAGCCGCCGCGGUAAUACCGGCGGCUCGAGUGGUGGCCACUAUUACUGGGCUUAAAGCGUCCGUAGCUGGAUUGUUAAGUCUCUUGGGAAAUCCACCGGCUCAACCGAUGGGCGUUCAGGAGAAACUGGCAAUCUAGGGACCGGGAGAGGUGAGAGGUACUCCAGGGGUAGGAGUGAAAUCCUGUAAUCCUUGGGGGACCACCUGUGGCGAAGGCGUCUCACUAGAACGGCUCCGCAGUGAGGGCAAAGCUGGGGGAGCAAACCGGAUUAGAAACCCCAGUAG
rnacentral:rRNA from 1 species